rnacentral:rRNA from 1 species
AAUUCGACGCAACGCGAAGAACCUUACCAGGGCUUGACAUCUACAGAAUCGGGAGGAAACUUUCGAGUUGCCCUUCGGGGAACUGUAAGACAGGUGGUGCAUGGUUGUCGUCAGCUCGUGUCGUGAGAUGUUGGGUUAAGUCCCGCAACGAGCGCAACCCCCUAUGUUUAGUUGCUAGCGAGUAAGGUCGAGCACUCUAGACAGACUGCCGGUGAUAAACCGGAGGAAGGUGGGGAUGACGUCAAAUCAUCAUGCCCCUUAUGUUCUGGGCUACACACGUGCUACAAUGGCCGGUACAAACGGAAGCGAAGCCGCGAGGUGAAGCAAAUCUGAUAAAACCGGUCUCAGUUCGGAUUGCAGGCUGCAACUCGCCUGCAUGAAGUCGGAAUCGCUAGUAAUCGCGGAUCAGCACGCCGCGGUGAAUACGUUCCCGGGCCUU